UCCUGGCUCAGGAUGAACGCUGGCGGCGUGCCUAAUACAUGCAAGUCGAACGAGAACCUUGGAUUCGUCUGAGGGGAAAGUGGCGGACGGGUGAGUAACACGUAGGCGACCUGCCCUGGAGCAGGGGAUAACGGUUCGAAAGGACUGCUAAGACCCUAUAAGCCCCCGCGGUUCAGAAGCGCGAGGGAAAAGAUUUAUCGCUCUGGGAGGGGCCUGCGGCCCAUCAGGUAGUUGGUGAGGUAACGGCUCACCAAGCCAAUGACGGGUAGGGGGCCUGAGAGGGUGGUCCCCCACAUGGGCACUGAGACACGGGCCCAACUCCUACGGGAGGCAGCAGUAAGGGAUAUUGCACAAUGGACGAAAGUCUGAUGCAGCAACGCCGCGUGCCCGAUGAAGGCCUUCGGGUCGUAAAGGGCUUUUCUGGCUGACGAGCAAGGACGGUAGGCCAGGAAGAAGUGUCGGCUAACUACGUGCCAGCAGCCGCGGUAAAACGUAGGACGCAAGCGUUAUCCGGAGUUACUGGGCGUAAAGCGCGAGCAGGCGGGGACACACGUUGGCUGUGAAAGCGCCCGGCUUAACCGGGCGAGGCCAGUCGACACGGUGGUCCUGGAGGGCAGCAGAGGGGCAUGGAAUUCCGGGUGGAGUGGUGAAAUGCGUAGAGAUCCGGAGGAACACCAGAGGCGAAGGCGGUGCCCUGGGCUGCACCUGACGCUGAGCCGCGAAAGCCAGGGGGAGCGAACGGGAUUAGAAACCCCGGUAGUCCUGGCCGUAAACGAUGUCUGCUAGGUGUGGGCUCCGAACGGGGUCCGCGCCGAAGCUAACGCGAUAAGCAGACCGCCUGGGGAGUACGGUCGCAAGGCUAAAACUCAAAGGAAUUGACGGGGGCCCGCACAAGCAGCGGAGCGUGUGGUUUAAUUCGAGGCAACGCGAAGAACCUUACCUGGGCUUGACAUGACGGUGGUAGGGAAGGAAACCGGACCGACCUUCGGGAG
rnacentral:rRNA from 1 species